CCUACGGGAGGCAGCAGUGGGGAAUUUUGGACAAUGGGGGAAACCCUGAUCCAGCCAUUCCGCGUGAGUGAAGAAGGCCUUCGGGUUGUAAAGCUCUUUCGGCAGGAACGAAACGGCGGACUCUAACAUAGUCUGUCAAUGACGGUACCUGAAGAAGAAGCACCGGCUAACUACGUGCCAGCAGCCGCGGUAAUACGUAGGGUGCGAGCGUUAAUCGGAAUUACUGGGCGUAAAGCGUGCGCAGGCGGCUUUGUAAGACGGAUGUGAAAUCCCUGGGCUUAACCUAGGAACUGCGUUCGUGACUGCAAAGCUAGAGUGCGGCAGAGGGGGGUGAAAUUCCUGGUGUAGCAGUAAAAUGCGUAGAGAUCAUGAAGACCACCGGUUGCGAAGGCGAUCAUCUGGCUC
rnacentral:rRNA from 1 species